rnacentral:rRNA from 1 species
CGUAGGUGAACCUGCGGAGGGAUCAUUACUGAGUUUACGCUCUAUAACCCUUUGUGAACAUACCUAUAACUGUUGCUUCGGCGGGUAGGGUCUCCGUGACCCUCCCGGCCUCCCGCCCCCGGGCGGGUCGGCGCCCGCCGGAGGAUAACCAAACUCUGAUUUAACGACGUUUCUUCUGAGUGGUACAAGCAAAUAAUCAAAACUUUUAACAACGGAUCUCUUGGUUCUGGCAUCGAUGAAGAACGCAGCGAAAUGCGAUAAGUAAUGUGAAUUGCAGAAUUCAGUGAAUCAUCGAAUCUUUGAACGCACAUUGCGCCCGCCAGCAUUCUGGCGGGCAUGCCUGUUCGAGCGUCAUUUCAACCCUCAAGCUCUGCUUGGUGUUGGGGCCCUACAGCUGAUGUAGGCCCUCAAAGGUAGUGGCGGACCCUCCCGGAGCCUCCUUUGCGUAGUAACUUUACGUCUCGCACUGGGAUCCGGAGGGACUCUUGCCGUAAAACCCCCCAAUUUUCCAAAGGUUGACCUCGGAUCAGGUAGGAAUACCCGCUGAACUUAAGCAUAUCAAUAAGCGGAGGAA